rnacentral:rRNA from 1 species
GCAAGUCGAGGGGUAACGGAAGUAGCUUGCUACUAGACGACGACCGGCGCACGGGUGAGUAACGCGUAUGUAAUCUGCCUUGUACAGAGGGAUAGCCCAGAGAAAUUUGGAUUAAUACCUCAUAGUAUUACUGAAUCGCAUGAUUCGGUAAUUAAAGCUCCGGCGGUACAAGAUGAACAUGCGUGACAUUAGCUAGUUGGUAAGGUAACGGCUUACCAAGGCCACGAUGUCUAGGGGUUCUGAGAGGAUGAUCCCCCACACUGGUGCUGAGACACGGACCAGACUCCUACGGGAGGCAGCAGUGAGGAAUAUUGGUCAAUGGACGCAAGUCUGAACCAGCCAUCCCGCGUGAAGGAUGACUGCCCUAUGGGUUGUAAACUUCUUUUAUAUGCAAAUAAACCUACUUUCGUGAAAGUAGCUGAAGGUAGCAUAUGAAUAAACACCGGCUAACUCCGUGCCAGCAGCCGCGGUAAUACGGAGGGUGUAAGCGUUAUCCGGAUUUAUUGGGUUUAAAGGGUACGUAGGCGGUAAUAUAAGUCAGUGGUGAAAUCCUGCAGCUCAACUGUAGAACUGCCAUUGAAACUGU